CUAUGGAGAAGAAAAGAAGUUCUAGUUACCUUAGAAGAGGAAGCUCAUCACAACUCCUAGCUUUCAAACAAGCUUCGAAAGGAUGAAAAUGGUGGAGAGAUGAAUUUUGAGUGAGUGUAUAGUGAUGGUGGAGUGUGUGGUUCGGCCAUGGAAGAAAGAUGAGUGAGUUUCCAAUUUAUCCUAAACAUGGAGGAACCCGACAGUUGAACUAUAAGGAGAAAAACAAUCAGGCAAAAACACAACAGAACAUUCAUAUAAAAGAAAAAUCUGAACAAAUAAUUAUAAGCAUGUUUUAUAGUUUAACCAUAGAAGCUCUCAAACUUUAAAAUCAUCAAUUCUUCCUCUUCUUACUACUUCACAUUCUUUUUCCUUGACUUAGGCAGCACCCUGAAAAAAGGUAACCAAACCAACAAAUAAAUAGAAAAUGAGUAAUUAAAGAAUUGUGAA
rnacentral:lncRNA from 1 species